rnacentral:rRNA from 1 species
AUUGAACGCUGGCGGCAUGCUUUACACAUGCAAGUCGAACGGUAACAGGGUGCUUGCACCGCUGACGAGUGGCGAACGGGUGAGUAAUGCGUCGGAACGUGCCGAGUAGUGGGGGAUAACGCAUCGAAAGGUGUGCUAAUACCGCAUACGUACUGAGGUAGAAAGUGGGGGACCUUCGGGCCUCACGCUAUUCGAGCGGCCGACGUCUGAUUAGCUAGUUGGUGAGGUAAAGGCUCACCAAGGCGACGAUCAGUAGCGGGUCUGAGAGGAUGGUCCGCCACACUGGGACUGGGACACGGGCCAGAGUCCUACGGGAGUCAGCAGUGGGGAAUUUUGGACAAUGGGCGCAAGCCUGAUCCAGCCAUGCCGCGUGUCUGAAGAAGGCCUUCGGGUUGUAAAGGACUUUUGUCCGGGAGCAAAUGCCUGGUGUUAAUAGCACUGGGAGCUGAGAGUACCGGAAGAAUAAGCACCGGCUAACUACGUGCCAGCCGCCGCCGUAACAC